GUUGGUGCUGAUUGCGGUGAGGGUCCACCCGUUCCCAUCCCGAACACGGAAGUUAAGCUCACUUGCGCCGAAAAUACUUGGCGGGCAGCUGCCCGGGAAAAUAGGUAGGCGCCAACA
rnacentral:rRNA from 1 species